rnacentral:rRNA from 1 species
GGUCAAGCUACAAAGGGCGCAUGGUGAAUGCCUUGGCAUCAGGAGCCGAUGAAGGACGCGAUAAGCUGCGAUAAGCUUCGGGUAGGCGCACAUAGCCAGAGAUCCGAAGAUUUCCGAAUGAGGAAACUCACAUGGGAAACCCCAUGU